rnacentral:rRNA from 1 species
GAACCGUACAAACGUUAUUCGGAAUCACUGGGCUUAAAGGGUGCGUAGGCGGCUUGGCAAGUUGGGGUGUGAAAUCCCUCGGGCUCAACCGAGGAACUGCGCCCAAAACUGCCAGGCUUGAGGGAGAUAGAGGUGAGCGGAACUUAGGGUGGAGCGGUGAAAUGCGUUGAUGUCCUAAGGAACACCGGUGGCGAAGGCGGCUCACUGGAUCUCUUCUGACGCUGAGGCACGAAAGCUAGGGUAGCGAACGGGAUUAGAUACCCCGGUAGUCCUAGCUGUAAACGAUGAGCACUGGGUUGGAGGCCCCCCCAUAGGCUUCCGGCCGAAGCGAAAGUGUUAAGUGCUCCGCCUGGGGAGUAUGGUCGCAAAGGCUG